rnacentral:misc_RNA from 1 species
AAGUCGUAACAAGGUUUCCGUAGGUGAACCUGCGGAAGGAUCAUUAUCACGUAUCCACGUAUCAACCAUUGUGAACUGUGCUUACCGUUAAAAGUUUUGGAAAGAGUGUGAUAAUAAACGUUUCUUUCUCACGAAGGAAGAGGUAAAAGUGAUUUGAUUUACCUUAGUUUAUUAUUACCAACAAUUUUAACGAAUUGUCUUUCUAAUUUUUAACGAGUAUUUUCAAAUCAAUUUCAUUAACAAUUUAAACCCAAUUUUAAUAAAUUGUGAACUGAAAUAAUUUCUUACUCGUUUUUCACGAAAUGAGAAGAAAUAAUCUUACGAAACAUAAGAACAACUCUUAGCAACGGAUAUCUUGGUUCUC